CUUUUCUGGAGUUUCAUAGUGAGCCCAGGAUAUGGGUAAACAAGGGACCUGCAAACAGAAAAGUAAAUGCAAGAACAAGAAGGAAGAGAAGUGGAACACAAGAGACUGGCUGAGAGAGCAUGGCUCUUCUGAGAUGCAUCCUUGAAAGAAAAGAGCAGUAAGGAAAAUGAAAAUAAAAACACCCAUGGGCCUUCUCUGCUGGGAAGUCAGCAAAGAUCAGUCCACUUCCAUGUGCAUUUUAAUACCUGUCAGCUGACUCGCAGCACCAAAUAAAAUGCAAGCAUUCAGCGAUGACAGAUGGAUUUGUUGCCCCGGAGGAUUUGGGAUCCAUAAACCAACAAAUGGAUUCACUCAUCUAUAGAAGUUGUUUUUUCAUCUGUGACAGCUAUAAUACAGAUAACAUUAUUCAUUCAAGGUAAAAUCCAGAUCAACAUUAAAGGCCAUGCACAAAUCCUGUCACACAGUUUACAGAGAAGUCUUAAAAAGCGUUGAACAUAGAGCUUAAUUAUCUCUGAAGCGGUAGGUAGAGCAGCAAGCUGGACCUCGGCCUCAGCUGACCACCUUUAGGUAAUCUAUGUUAACACUAGCAUAAAUUCAAAAAAGACAGGUUUCCUCUGAAAAGGCACCAAAAAAGAUUAGCUAGUUAACCAAAUUCAUGCGUGUUGUUUUAAUACUGGAGUAGUGGAAUCCUCUCAUGGUCCCACAUUUCAAUUAGAUUGCUCAAGGUUGCAGACUAACCAGGAGAAAAUUCCCGUGGCCACCUGGUAAAUAGCUGGAAUAAUGCAACCCAAAUGCAACUGGGAAGAACGGUUGUUUUCAGCUGAAUUUGGCUAAAAAUUUGCCUCGCAAUUAGGCUGAAAGGAAAUUUACAGAAAGAAAAUCCCCUGAUGACUCUUUGCUCUUAUUUUUAUAUAUAUGACAGAAGAGAAGACUGUGCAAAACAAAUGUGAAUUCCUACUGCUCUUUCAAAUAUGUUUCUGAAUCUUAGGCUUUAUUACACUAUCUGGUUGAAGAAGAACACCUUGGCCAGC